GAUGAACGCUGGCAGCGUGCCUAAUACAUGCAAGUCGAGCGAACAGACGAGGAGCUUGCUCCUUUGACGUUAGCGGCGGACGGGUGAGUAACACGUGGAUAACCUACCUAUAAGACUGGGAUAACUUCGGGAAACCGGAGCUAAUACCGGAUAACAUGUUGAACCGCAUGGUUCAACAGUGAAAGACGGUCUUGCUGUCACUUAUAGAUGGAUCCGCGCCGCAUUAGCUAGUUGGUAAGGUAACGGCUUACCAAGGCAACGAUGCGUAGCCGACCUGAGAGGGUGAUCGGCCACACUGGAACUGAGACACGGUCCAGACUCCUACGGGAGGCAGCAGUAGGGAAUCUUCCGCAAUGGGCGAAAGCCUGACGGAGCAACGCCGCGUGAGUGAAGAAGGUCUUCGGAUCGUAAAACUCUGUUAUUAGGGAAGAACAAAUGUGUAAGUAACUAUGCACGUCUUGACGGUACCUAAUCAGAAAGCCACGGCUAACUACGUG
rnacentral:rRNA from 1 species